rfam:Pestalotiopsis fici W106-1 unplaced genomic scaffold PFICI_Scf_23, whole genome shotgun sequence.
ACGACCAUCAUUUAAUGGUAGGAUUGCUGUCUUCCAAACAGAGUGUGUGGGUUCGAUUCCCACUGGUCGUA